GUCUCAGCCGCUUCCUGUCAGCGCCAGGAGCGGGGAUUCCCGGGGUCCCGGGCAGGUACCUGGACAGCGCAGGUCCUCGCAAGGCCGUUUCUCAGGGACGCCGGCCUCGCCACUGACGUAGCACCAGGGCCCGCGCGGGUCCUCGUCCGGGUUUCGGCAGUAACUGUGAUUGCCGGCCCCUAAGAGAGGAGAGAAGGAAAUGUGUGCCGGGGCUGGCACCGGGAACGCGGCCGCCGCCCGCCAGCCCCGGGGCCGUCCCCCGGAGGACACUUACCCGACACGGGGGCCGAGGCCAGCCCGCUCUGCGCGUCCAGCCAGUUGAGGCAGCGGAGGCCCGGCGCGGGGGAGGUCUGGUCCUCCCGGUACAGGUGGCCGUUGUCCCAGAAACAGCCUGUGAGGAAAAGAAGCCCCCGGACACAGAAUAGCGGGCAGCGAACGGAAGACGCCCAGCGUGGCGGACAGGGGAGCCGGGACCACCCGGGCUGAACCUCAGCCUGGUUAGGGGACCCCGGGCCCUGCUGGGCCUCCCUCUCCUCUCGUGGCAACACCCCCACGCCCCACGCACCCCCCCCCCCCAACUCCACGCACACCUCAGGGUGUGAAGCCCCCAGCCUGUGCCUGUCCCCCAGUCAACGCUCAGAGACUGUUAGGUUUUAUUUAUUUUUGAAACCUGGAAAGCGCUGCAGAAGUGCAAAGCGUUGUUACUCUUGAACUUGUGACCACUUUGGAGGAGGAGAUGGAGAGGAGGAGGCCUGGCUUAGGGUCCCUUUGAGGAGCUGGGAGUUUUGGGACGGGGGGCGCCCAGACGUGACAUUUGUCCCUGUGUUGUAAUGGCCACGUUACAUAAACUCCGGUGUUUCCUCCUUCACGGAUACGGCCACCUUCUGCCCGUUUAAAAGGCAAAUACUCCCUCCCAGGAGAAUUCUCCAGGAGCCUUGACUCCGUCAGGCAAAAGAUUCAAGACAGCCUCAAACGGAGGAAACCGGCCUCAUCGCUGACUGGAUGAGACUCCAAGCUCCCACUCCCCUCUGCAGGAGAACCACAGAAGGAGGCUGGGGAAGGAGGACCACACCAUGCAAAGGGCUUAGAAAGAACAGGACUUGGGGAGUAGGGGAGAUGAACCCCCAAGCUCCAUCCACUCAUGAGCAAGGAAAGGCAGAGAGAAAGUGGCUUCUUGCCUUUGUUCUUAAUGGCAAAGAUGGAGCUGCAAGCCCCUGACAAGGAAAGGAGGGGUGGAAAAGCUUUCACGGGACAACAGAAACCGGCUAAACGCUUCGUUUCCUGUCAUCCUGGCCCUGUUUGGGAAAUAGGGGGCUUUACCCCUUCUGUUUCAUGAAGUUGCUGCGGAAAGGAAAGAUUGUAAUCUCACCUCCAGAUCCAUAGGCUUCUGCUAGGAGCAUGUUGCUGACGAGGAAUGCUUGUACCCAGGCCAACAGCAUCCUUGCCUCCUUCGUCUUGCAGGUGAUUGAACGACCAGUGUUUAACCGAGGCCCCCUUGGCGGCGGCUCUGCCUCCCAGUCCCAGCCUUGCAGUCAGACCUGCCCUUGUUAUGCUGUUCUGGUAAACAGCCUCUCUUUAGAACUGGGAGCUUCCCAGCUAGCUUGCUGCAGCGCGAGCUGUUUUUCAGCUGAAAGGCGCCCCCUGGGUCCUAAGCCUCCUAGGUCAUGCAAAAUCUAACUGAGCCAAGAAAGGAACUCAGCCAAGAGAUAUGCAGGUUGUGCUUAGCAGCCGAUCAGUUUGAGACCUGCGAGGCCGCAUCCCCAGGGUUUUUCAUCUCUUCUGUUUCCAUUUGUAACACUUCAUCACCCC
rnacentral:lncRNA from 1 species